rnacentral:lncRNA from 1 species
UCUCCAAAAAAAAAAAAAAAAUUCAGCCAUGUCUUCAUAGAGGGUCCCGGGACAGCAAGGGAUUCACAGUGAGAUCCUGUUUCAAACAAAUACAGUACCCUCAAAUCAUGGUGGGGCCUACAACAGAAGGCUGCCACUGGCUGCUCACACAGGAAGAGUCCACAGGCUCAUCUGGUUCUCAGUGCCCUGCUAAGACAUCCUCCGUGCACUAGUUCCUGACGCCUUAAAAUAACUCUCAGAGGCAAGACCGAAGUUUGAGGUAGACGAGCAGGCGAGCCGUUUGCCCGGGCGCAGAGCAUGAAGGCCGGGCGGGCGCGGGGAGCGGGCGCCCGCCGCCCGGCGCGGGGGUGAGCGAGAGAGAGAGCGGAGCGCGUGUGGCCGGCGCCGCUCGGCCUGGAGCUCCCGCGCCCGCGCCCCGCGCCCCGCGCCCGCCGCCGCCGCCGCCGCCGCCCCUGGUGCGAUGGCGCAGAAACCCCGUUGACAAGGCACUGCUUUUUCAUGACGGUGA